CUACGGGUCGCACCAGUGGGGAAUAUUGCACAAUGGGGGAAACCCUGAUGCAGCAACGCCGCGUGGAGGAUGACGCAUUUCGGUGUGUAAACUCCUUUUAUAUACCAAGAUAAUGACGGUAGUAUAUGAAUAAGCACCGGCUAACUCCGUGCCAGCAGCCGCGGUAAUACGGAGGGUGCAAGCGUUACGCGGAAUCACUGGGCGUAAAGGGCGCGUAGGCGGGUUAUCAAGUCUUGAGUGAAAUCCAACGGCUUAACCGUUGAACUGCUUGGGAAACUGGUAGCCUAGAGUAAGGGAGAAGUAGAUGGAAUUGGUGGUGUAGGGGUAAAAUCCGUAGAGAUCACCAGGAAUACCCAUUGCGAAGGCGAUCUGCUGGAACUUUACUGACGCUGAGGCGCUAAAGCGUGGGGAGCAAACAGGAUUAGAUACCCGCGUAGUC
rnacentral:rRNA from 1 species